rnacentral:rRNA from 1 species
GUCGAACGCUGGCGGCGUGCUUAACACAUGCAAGUCGAGCGGAGCGGCGAACGGGUGAGUAACGCGUGAGUAACUGCACCCCUCUCUGGGAUAACAGUUGGAAACGGCUGCUAAUACCGGAUAGUUGGGGAUGACUCGCGUCCUAUCAGCUUGUUGGUGGGGUAGUGGCCUACGAAGGCGACGACGGGUAGCCGGCCUGAGAGGGCGACCGGCGACAUGGGGCUGAGAUACGGACCAAACUCCUACGGGAGGCAGCAGUGGGGAAUAUUGCACAAUGGGGGAAACCCUGAUGCAGCGACGCCGCGUGCGGAAUGACGGCCUUCGGGUUGUAAACCGCUUUCAGCGAUGACGCGGUAGUGGCAGAAGAAGCACCGGCUAACUCCGUGCCAGCAGCCGCGGUAAUAC